CAGCCGCCGCGGGAAUACAGAGGAUGCAAGCGUUAUCCGGAAUGAUUGGGCGUAAAGCGUCUGUAGGUGGCUUUUCAAGUCCGCCGUCAAAUCCCAGGGCUCAACCCUGGACAGGCGGUGGAAACUACCAAGCUGGAGUACGGUAGGGGCAGAGGGAAUUUCCGGUGGAGCGGUGAAAUGCGUAGAGAUGUGGAGGAACACCAGUGGCGAAAGCGAGGUCCUGGACCCUUUCUGACGCUGAGACGCGAAAGCCAGGGGAGCGAACGGGAUUAGAUACCCCGGUAGUCCCUGUCUCUUAUAA
rnacentral:rRNA from 1 species